GAUGAACGCUGGCGGCGUGCCUAAUACAUGCAAGUCGAGCGAAUGGAUUAAGAGCUUGCUCUUAUGAAGUUAGCGGCGGACGGGUGAGUAACACGUGGGUAACCUGCCCAUAAGACUGGGAUAACUCCGGGAAACCGGGGCUAAUACCGGAUAACAUUUUGAACCGGAUGGUUCGAAAUUGAAAGGCGGCUGCGGCUGUCACUGAUGGAUGGACCCGCGUCGCAUUAGCUAGUUGGUGAGGUAACGGCUCACCAAGGCAACGAUGCGUAGCCGACCUGAGAGGGUGAUCGGCCACACUGGGACUGAGACACGGCCCAGACUCCUACGGGAGGCAGCAGUAGGGAAUCUUCCGCAAUGGACGAAAGUCUGACGGAGCAACGCCGCGUGAGUGAUGAAGGCUUUCGGGUCGUAAAACUCUGUUGUUAGGGAAGAACAAGUGCUAGUUGAAUAAGCUGGCACCUUGACGGUACCUAACCAGAAAGCCACGGCUAACUACGUGCCAGCCGCCGCAGUAA
rnacentral:rRNA from 1 species